CACCUACAUUAAGAGAAGGGCUGACGUCCUCGCCAACCUGCCAACCUGGGCAAGGUGGUUACCGAACCUCGGUGAUGUGGUCUAUCGACAACUAAUCAGGAGACC
rnacentral:ncRNA from 2 species